UUUGACGGAGAGUUUGAUCCUGGCUCAGGACGAACGCUGGCGGCGUGCUUAACACAUGCAAGUCGAACGCUGAAGCUUGGUGCUUGCACUGGGUGGAUGAGU
rnacentral:rRNA from 2 species